rnacentral:rRNA from 1 species
AUUGAACGCUGGCGGAAUGCUUUACACAUGCAAGUCGAACGGCAGCACGGGGGCAACCCUGGUGGCGAGUGGCGAACGGGUGAGUAAUACAUCGGAACGUGCCCGGUCGUGGGGGAUAACGUAGCGAAAGAUACGCUAAUACCGCAUACGAACUGAGGAUGAAAGCGGGGGACCUUCGGGCCUCGCGCGAUCGGAGCGGCCGAAGUCAGAUUCGUGAGUUGGUGGGGUAACGGCCUACCAAGCCGACGAUCUGUAGCUGGGCUGAGAGGACGACCAGCCACCCUGGGACUGAGACACGGCCCAGCCUCCUACGGGAGGCAGCAGUGGGGAAUUUUGGACAAUGGGCGCAAGCCUGCUCCAGCCCUUCCGCGUGCAGGACGAAGGCCUUCGGGUUGUAAACUGCUUUUGUAUGGAACGAAAAGGCUCUGGCUAAUACCUGGGGCUCAUGACGGUACCGUACGAAUAAGCACCGGCUAACUACGUG